CUGAAGUUCUGACCCUCUAAUCACUUGGUUGGUUGCCCUGGCAACCCCAACCCCCAUCUAGAGGCUAUCCAGGAGCCCCCAGCCACCAGUCGCUCAUUAGCAUACAAAAGACCUGGCACUUCAGAGAUUUUAAGGGCUUUUUUGAGCUGUGUGCCAGAGAGUGGGGGCAGAGACCAAAGGUUUAUUUCUUAAUGUGUUUCAAUCCGAAUUGGGGUCCAACAGCAAAUGAGUUCCAGGGAUUCUUCUGAGCUGGGAAAGUGACACAGAGGGGUGACAGGAGGAAUGAACCCUCCCACUGAAACUAGAGAAUUACCUCUAAAAGAAAGAGACAGAUAAAACUAGAAAGUGUGAUACAAUGUUACGGGAAGAGGCACUUGGGGUUCAGGAAUCAAGCAUUGGAGAUCCACUUUUCACUGGGUAUCUUUUUGUACUGUUUUUUGUUUUCUUUUGUUUUGAUCCCAUGCGUGUAUUCCCUUUAAAUACCCACUAUAUUCAUUAAAGAAAUUAAUAAAAAUA